rnacentral:rRNA from 1 species
CCUACGGGAGGCAGCAGUGAGGAAUAUUGGUCAAUGGGCGCGAGCCUGAACCAGCCAAGUAGCGUGAAGGAUGACUGCUCUACGGGUUGUAAACUUCUUUUAUAAAGGAAUAAAGUGAGGCACGUUUGCCUUUUUGUAUGUACUUAAUGAGUAAGGAUCGGCUAAGUCCGUGCCAGCGGCCGCGGUAAUACGGAGGUUGCGGGCGUUAUCCGGAUUUAUUGGGUUUAAAGGGAGCGUAGAUGGGUUGUUAAGUCAGUAGUGAAAGUUUGCGGCUCAACCGUAGACUUGCAAUUGAUACUGGCAGUCUUGAGUACAGUUGAGGUAAGCGGAAUUCGUGGUGUAGCGGUGAAAUGCUUAGAUAUCACGAAGAACUCCGAUUGCGAAGGCAGCUUACUAAACUGCCACUGACAUUGAUGCUCGAAAGUGUGGGUAUCAAACAGGAUUAGAUACCCUUGUAGUC